rnacentral:rRNA from 1 species
GACGAACGCUGGCGGCGUGCUUAACACAUGCAAGUCGAACGAAGUGGCUAACGGGUGAGUAACGCGUAAUCAACCUGCCCUUCAGAGGGGGACAAACGUUGGAAACGACUGCUAAUACCGCAUACUGAAGGAGGGGAUUCCGUCUGAUUGGAUAGUUGGUGGGGUAACGGCCCACCAAGGCGAUGAUCAGUAGCCGGUCGUAGAGGAUGAACGGCCAAAUUGGGACGGAGAAACGGCCCAGACUCCUACGGGAGGCAGCAGUGGGGAAUCUUCCGCAAUGGACGAAAGUCUGACGGAGCAACGCCGCGUGAGUGAUGACGGCCUUCGGGUUGUAAAGCUCUGUUAAUCGGGACGCGGUACCGGAAUAGAAAGCCACGGCUAACUACGUGCCAGCAGCCGCGGUAAUUC